AGAGGCUAUGAACAAAGGAAAGCAAGGAAUGGAGCUCUCAAAACUGAAAAUCACAGGGAAAUGGAGAUUCGUCUAGACGCUCUGAAGGAUUGCAGCCCUGCCAACACCUUGGUUUUGGCCCCGUGAAACCUGUUUUGGAUUUCUGACCUCCAGAACUGGAAGAGAAUACUUUGAGUUCUUUUAAGCCACGAAGUUUGUGGUAAUUUAUUAUAGCAGUGAUAGAAAACUAAUACAUUCUUCGCCUUUCUGACUGCAGAUCUGUUUGUUAACUUCUCUACCUUUGUUGAACAUUGGUCCUCUUAAUAAACUCAUGGACUUGAUGCGUCUGCAUUGGUGGCCACUCCACGUUGACAACUGGCAUGCAGAUUGCAGACAGGGGCCAUCCCAGGCUGCUCCUUCAAUUUCACCACAAGCAACAGCUGAGGGGAAGAUUAGCCCUGAGCUAACAUCUGCCGUCAAUCCUUCUCUUUUUGCUGAAGAAGAUUGGCUCUGAGCUAACAUCCGUACCCAUCUUCCUCUGUUUUAUAUGUGGGAGGCCUGCCACAGCAUGGCUUGCCAAGCGGUGCCGUGUCGGCACCUGGGAUCUGAACUGGCAGACCCCAGGCUGCUGAAGUGGAACGUGCGAACUUCACCACUGCGCCAACGGGCCGGGCCCAGCUAAUACUUCUGAUUUCUUUUCCUGUGUGCUCUAUGGAAUCACCUUUGCAUCAAUUACAUCGGGAAAAACAGUUUGGAGAGAAUUAAUCUUGUCAUGACAAUUAGCAGUUUGGAUUAUACUUUUCCUGACUAAUGUCUAUAUAUAUAUAAAUAUAGAUAUUUAGAAAUAAUUUGUAAAUAUAAUUCCUCAAUAUCCUUUUAAACUUUUAUAGGAUAUCUUAAAGGUCUUUUUAUGUCAAUAUAUGAAGAUAUAUCUCAUUAUUUUAAACUGUUGCAUAGUAUGUCUUAGUGCGGAUGUUUCAUAGCCUGCUUAGCAAUUCAUCUCUUACUGCACCUUUAGGUUAUUUCUAGAUUUUCACAAUAACAAACAACAUUGCUGUGGAAGUCACUUCUCUUCUUUUCACAGGUGUGUGGUUUUCCCUGGGGUUUAGACUCAGCAAGGCGAAAGGACAUAUGCAUUCUGAAGUUUCUUACAUACAUCCGAAUUUUUCACAGAACUGCUUUAACAGUUUUCCCUCUUACAAAUAUAAUAUGAGAAUAACGUCUACAUUUUCCUGAUCAUAUCGUGAAUUUGGGCAUUUUUCAUGUAUUUACAAGCCAUUCGAAUGCUUUUUUCUGUGAAUUACUUGUUUACAUCCUUUGCUCAUUAUUCUACUGGUCUGCUUGCUUUUUUCUUAUUCAUUCGAAAAGUGUUUAAUCUGAGUAUUUAAAUAAUAAUCCUUUGUUAUACAUGUG
rnacentral:lncRNA from 1 species